rnacentral:rRNA from 1 species
GAUGAACGCUGGCGGCGUGCCUAAUACAUGCAAGUCGAGCGAACGGACGAGAAGCUUGCUUCUCUGCUGUUAGCGGCGGACGGGUGAGUAACACGUGGAUAACCUACCUAUAAGACUGGGAUAACUUCGGGAAACCGGAGCUAAUACCGGAUAAUAUUUUGAACCGCAUGGUUCAAAAGUGAAAGACGGUCUUGCUGUCACUUAUAUAUGGAUCCGCGCUGCAUUAGCUAUUUGGUAAGGUAACGGCUUACCAAGGCAACGAUGCAUAGCGGACCUGAGAGGGGGAACGGCACCCCAAGAACUGAGCCGAGGCACAGACUCCAGAGGGAGGCAAGAGUAGGGAAUCGUCCACAAUUCGCGAAGAAAUUGCUGAAAAAGGCCAAGUGGGUGAUGGAGGGCUUAGGAUAGGAAAACUCUGUUAUUUAGGAAGAACAGAUGUGUAAGUAACUGUGGACAUCGUGAAGGUACCGAAUGAGAAAGCCACGGCUAACUACGUG